AGAGUUUGAUCCUGGCUCAGGAUGAACGCUAGCUACAGGCUUAACACAUGCAAGUCGAGGGGCAGCAUGAACUUAGCUUGCUAAGUUUGAUGGCGACCGGCGCACGGGUGAGUAACACGUAUCCAACCUGCCGAUGACUCGGGGAUAGCCUUUCGAAAGAAAGAUUAAUACCCGAUGGCAUAGUUCUUCCGCAUGGUAGAACUAUUAAAGAAUUUCGGUCAUCGAUGGGGAUGCGUUCCAUUAGGUUGUUGGCGGGGUAACGGCCCACCAAGCCUUCGAUGGAUAGGGGUUCUGAGAGGAAGGUCCCCCACAUUGGAACUGAGACACGGUCCAAACUCCUACGGGAGGCAGCAGUGAGGAAUAUUGGUCAAUGGGCGAGAGCCUGAACCAGCCAAGUAGCGUGAAGGAUGACUGCCCUAUGGGUUGUAAACUUCUUUUAUAAAGGAAUAAAGUCGGGUAUGCAUACCCGUUUGCAUGUACUUUAUGAAUAAGGAUCGGCUAACUCCGUGCCAGCAGCCGCGGUAAUACGGAGGAUCCGAGCGUUAUCCGGAUUUAUUGGGUUUAAAGGGAGCGUAGAUGGAUGUUUAAGUCAGUUGUGAAAGUUUGCGGCUCAACCGUAAAAUUGCAGUUGAUACUGGAUAUCUUGAGUGCAGUUGAGGCAGGCGGAAUUCGUGGUGUAGCGGUGAAAUGCUUAGAUAUCACGAAGAACUCCGAUUGCGAAGGCAGCCUGCUAAGCUGCAACUGACAUUGAGGCUCGAAAGUGUGGGUAUCAAACAGGAUUAGAUACCCUGGUAGUCCACACGGUAAACGAUGAAUACUCGCUGUUUGCGAUAUACGGCAAGCGGCCAAGCGAAAGCGUUAAGUAUUCCACCUGGGGAGUACGCCGGCAACGGUGAAACUCAAAGGAAUUGACGGGGGCCCGCACAAGCGGAGGAACAUGUGGUUUAAUUCGAUGAUACGCGAGGAACCUUACCCGGGCUUGAAUUGCAACUGAAUGAUGUGGAGACAUGUCAGCCGCAAGGCAGUUGUGAAGGUGCUGCAUGGUUGUCGUCAGCUCGUGCCGUGAGGUGUCGGCUUAAGUGCCAUAACGAGCGCAACCCUUGUUGUCAGUUACUAACAGGUUCUGCUGAGGACUCUGACAAGACUGCCAUCGUAAGAUGUGAGGAAGGUGGGGAUGACGUCAAAUCAGCACGGCCCUUACGUCCGGGGCUACACACGUGUUACAAUGGGGGGUACAGA
rnacentral:rRNA from 1 species